UCAGGAUGAACGCUGGCGGCGUGCCUAAUACAUGCAAGUCGAGCGAACGGACAGGAGUGCUUGCACUCCUUGAAGUUAGCGGCGGACGGGUGAGUAACACGUGGGUAACCUACCUAUAAGACUGGGAUAACUUCGGGAAACCGGAGCUAAUACCGGAUAAUAUAUACCUCCGCAUGGAGGAAUAGUCAAAGACGGUUCUGCUGUCACUUAUAGAUGGACCCGCGGUGUAUUAGCUAGUUGGUGAGGUAACGGCUCACCAAGGCAACGAUACAUAGCCGACCUGAGAGGGUGAUCGGCCACACUGGGACUGAGACACGGCCCAGACUCCUACGGGAGGCAGCAGUAGGGAAUCUUCCGCAAUGGACGAAAGUCUGACGGAGCAACGCCGCGUGAGUGAAGAAGGUUUUCGGAUCGUAAAACUCUGUUGUAAGGGAAGAACAAGUACGUUAGUAAC
rnacentral:rRNA from 1 species